AGAGAAGCGAGGCUAUGAGGGUUUCCAUUUUUUCACUGUACACUGAACCCGGAAGAGGAUCUGUGGGAGAUGUGUAUAUGUAGUCCUGACUGCUACCUCUGUUCUCAGUGGUUCCCAAUGUGGGGCCUCUGUUCUCAGUGCUCAAACUCAAGCAAGACAGAAACCAGUCCUUUGGGCAGUCCUCAGAAAGAUCCUGCCUUAGGUUUAUUUAUACAGUUAGCACAGGAGGACGCCAGUCUCUGCAGAAAGAAGCCCAGGGGCCACAGCCAUCCUCCUGUCCUACAUCGGCAGAUAGAAGCCUCUACAUUGGAGCCUUCUUUUUUGGGGCCUGGGCCACCUUUGAGAGAAUGAGCUGCGACUGCAGCUAGAGCCAGAGCCACAACUUGUUCUGGGCCUUGGUUUGAGCCUUGGCCUUGGAAUUUGGCCAAUAGAGCCUGAGACCCUUGACAAUAUGGGCAUAAGCAUAUUUCUAGAGUGUGGGGUGAGUGAUGUAAGCUCAAGUUGAUUGAGCUUGUGACUGCUGCCCUUUGGGGUCUUGGACUUUACCAGGGCCUUGACAGCCUCGGCACAUACACUCAUGAUCUUGGUGGUGUUGGCUUCCAUCUCCUUUAGGCCCUUCUUGCUGUGCUUCUUGGCAAAGCGCAUGUUUCUCAGGAACUUGGGGUCCACCCUCCUAAGAGAUUCAUAUCUUUGUGAUGCAGUUUCUUGAUGUCAUUUCUGUGCCAUUUUCAUGGCUGGUUGUAGGCAGUGUGGUUUUUGGAUCAGGUAAUGUCUGCACUGAAGCCCCUGACUCCUAAAUCACCAGGGACUGGAAGAGGAGGAGGAAGCUCCAAGAAUUUCUUAUAUCUCCUCUAAAGAUGUCCAGGGUACCAGAUGCCCAAAGAGGUCCUCCUCAUGGGGCUGAGCCUCCCUGCAGGCUAGAAUAAUCCAGUGUAUAAAGGAGUGAGGACCUCAAACCUCUGAGUGCUAAGCAGGUGCUGCCUGAGGGCAGUGACUGUGGUUGAUGUUGCUCAUUUUCUCUGCCUCCUGCCUGGUCAGAGAAAUGCCAGGGGCCCUGCAUCUCUGAGCUGCACUAACCACACUUGGAUCCCUUUCUGGGCCUUUUGCGGGAAUUUGGCAGCUCUGUCAAUAAGCUCAGUGGGAGUAUAUUCUCUGGUCAUGAACAUUUCCUGAACUGGGGGCUCCCCACUAGCUGGGGUUGCUGUUGCCGGGCUGGUGCUUUCCUUUGUGUUUGGUGUCGGAUGGCAGGGGCGCUCCAUUGGCUGCACUGUCACUUGGCACAACACCUUCUCUUCACUCUGCUUACCUGCCCAGGGAUGCUCUGCCCAGGAUGCCAUGUGCAGUUUCUUAAACAAGUGUGUUAAAGCAGCCAGUGUUUUCAGGGUGUUCCCCUACUCACAUUCGGUCUACAGGCACAUUUAUCUAACCUAAGGGACCCCUUUCCCACAAAGAAGGGAACCUCCCCUCGCCCUUCAGGCAUUUGUGGGAAAAAUGCCUCUUUUCUGAGGCCAGUUUCUUCAGUCUCCUGGCUGGUCCAGCAAUCACCAGUUCACAAAUCCCUGGGAAGCUUUUCAGGUGAAAUCUGAAACUGGCCCUGUUAGCAGAAAGCAGAGAGAGAUGGAAGAAAGAGGCAGGCUGGGGUCUGGAAGGAAAGUAAGAUACACACAAAUCAAAGAGAUUAUUGAAGAUGUAUGCAUGGUGUAAGGCAAGAUAAAGUACCCCAGUGUUAAUAAUAGCAAAGGCUCCAUGAUCAUCCCAGACCUGAAGGAGUGAGAGGAAAAAACUGUGUGGAAAGGACACAGAAGCUGCAGUCUUGCACUCCAAAGUUUUCUCCUCUAGGAUUGGCUACAUAAUUUCAAGACCCAAUACAAAGUGAAAAAACACGGCUCCUUGUUCAAAAUUAUUAAGGAUUUCAAGACAGCGACAGCAGAACAUUAAACCAAGCAUGAGGCCCUGCUAACAUGGGACCCUGUGUGUGAUAACACAAGUCACAUGGCCAUGAAGUUGCAUCUAAUCUCUUCCCUCUUUCCAAUCUUCCAUUGGCUAAAUCCAACUGGUAACCAGAACUCAAAGAAGCUUAUUUGCUGAAUGCCUGAUUCCUGGGGACACAGAACUGAGUAAAAAGGAUGAAGUUUGGAUCUGGGGAGUAGAAAAAAGAUAUCCAGCCCAGAUAAGUGUAGAAAAUAUUUAUCUCUAUGACCUGCUAUGUCUGAGUGACAGAGGGUGAAGAAAGUAUAAGACACUUUAGUAUUAGUCAAUAAUAAUUAAGCAUAGGCACAUUUCCAAUAUGAUUAAAGAACAAACACAAAUACCAAAUAAGUAGUAUUGAGAAGAGAAAGUAAGUAAUAACCCCAGGGUUUCAACUGCAUCAUUGGCUUUGGGGUCUGGCCAACCUCUGCCCCAGUACUGGCCUUGACUUUUGGUAGCUGUGUAAUGAUAGGAAAAUUGCUCUUUUUUAUCGCUAGAGUCUGUAAAGCACAGAUAAUUAUUUCAGAGGUUGUUGUGGGUUAAAUUAAAGGAUGUCCCUAGCCACCAGUGGGUGUUCAAUAAAUGUUGGACAAUAGAAGAAAGCUGGGAUCACAGACGGAAAUAGAUGAGUUGGGAAAAGGUCUUUCUAGUUCUAUGGAUUUCUGGGAAAGGGGAAAUGUUUGUUCUACAGUUUUAGAGCUCUGGUGGUUAGGAAGUUUUCUCUAAAGCCAUCAUAGAUGGCUACUUCUGAAGAAUAUAGCCAUUUUUCAGAGAAUGCUAUUUGAUUUUCCUGCUGGGCUUGACAGAAAGGAUAGAGACUACAGGCAGGCAGACAUGGUUACAAAUCCUAUCUCCACCAGUGAGUAGUGGCAAGUUGUCUUAAGUCCUUUGAGCUAGUUUCUUGUUACAAAAGCAGUGUCACUGUAAGGAUUUAUGAGAAAAUGUCAAUAGUGUGCCAAAGAAAUGCUCAAAUUUCUACCUAAUCUGCCACUCUUUUUUACUUUUUCAGUUGAGCUGGAUUUAGGAAUCAUUUCUUUUGCUUAAGCAGUUCCCAUCUCCAGCAGUCAGCUGUGGUUCUUUUCUGUGGGUUUCACCCUUGUUCCCUGCGCCUUCCUGGUCACAGAAGUCUCAGUGAGAGAGUUGAGAGGGGAAGAAAAGAACAAGAAUCUGUGUUCACUUCUGCAGGAAAGUUCUAGUUCCUCAUUGGCUUUUAUCCAGACCUGGUUUAAAUUUCUCUGCCUUGGGAAAGAAGAAAGCAAAAGAGGAAGCUUUGUGCCUCCCUUCAGGAAGUAUAUGAGUUGAGUAAAAUGUGUCUCUAACAGGUUGAAUAGUGCCCCCCCCACCCGCCCCAGAUAUCUCCAUGGUCUGCGAAUGUGACCUUAUUUGGCAAAUGAAAUCUUUGCAGAUGUACUUAAAUUAAAGAUCUCCAAAUGAGAUCAUUCUAGAUACUCUGGGUGGGCCCUAUAUCUAAUAACAAGUGUCUUCAUAAGACACACAGUAGGGAUGGUCAUGGAGAGAAGAGAGGGCCAUGUACAUAUGGAGGCAGGAAUUGGAACCCUGGAAUCCACCAGAAGCUAGAAGAGAUAAGGAAGGAUUUAGAAGGCACACAACCUGAUACCACCUUGAUUUCAUAGUUCUGGACUCGAGAACUAUGAAAGAACAGAUUUCUAUUGUUUUAAGCCACAGAGUUUGUGGAUAUCUGUUACAGGCAGCUCCAGGAAUCAAUGCAGUAUCCAAUCAACACCAAUCAUAAUGAGUAUACGCACUACUACUACUAAUAGCUGCUCUGUAUUGAGCAUGAAUGGAAGAUAGCAGUCUCUGGAAGCUGCAAGAGAGGAGCUGGCUCCUCAUGUUAUCCCCAACCUGUCCAUCUUCGGCAAGCCUGAUUGUGUUAUGAUAAAAAUGUAUUUUGUUUUUGGUCCUGUUACUGGCUUGAGAAUUUCCUGAGAAACCCUGAGAAUUUCCUGAGUGGUAAGAGUGUUUUUUGUAUGCUAAUGAGAUGAUCCCUAGAUAGUGUCAGGAUGAGGGCCUGAAUGCCAGAAAAACUGACCAUGAGAUUAGAGGGUUAGAACUUUUGACCUGCCACCCACCCUCUCACUGCUGAGAGAUUAGUCCAAUAGCUAAUGAUCUAAUCAACCAUGUUUACAUAAUGGAACCCCCACAAAAAUCUCUAACCAAGGUGGUUUUUGAGAGUUUCUGAGUUGGUGAAGCCAUCAACAUGCUGUGAGGAUGGCACAUCAUGGAAGCUCUACACAUACCACCACCUUGGCCCCCACAUCUUCCAUCGGGCUGUUCCUGAGGUGUAUCCUGUAUAAUAAACUGAUAAUCAUUAAGUGAA